UACGUAGGGACCAAGCGUUGUUCGGAUUUACUGGGCGUAAAGGGCGCGUAGGCGGCAAUUCAAGUCAUCUGUGAAAUCUCCGGGCUUAACUCGGAACGGUCAGGUGAUACUGCUUUGCUAGAGUCCGGAAGGGGCGAGUGGAAUUCCUGGUGUAGCGGUGAAAUGCGCAGAUAUCAGGAGGAACACCAAUGGCGAAGGCAGCUCGCUGGGACGUGACUGACGCUGAGACGCGAAAGCGUGGGGAGCAAACAGG
rnacentral:rRNA from 1 species